rnacentral:rRNA from 1 species
UUUGAUGGCGACCGGCGCACGGGUGAGUAACACGUAUCCAACCUGCCGAUGACUCGGGGAUAGCCUUUCGAAAGAAAGAUUAAUACCCGAUGGCAUAGUUCUUCCGCAUGGUAGAACUAUUAAAGAAUUUCGGUCAUCGAUGGGGAUGCGUUCCAUUAGAUAGUUGGCGGGGUAACGGCCCACCAAGUCAACGAUGGAUAGGGGUUCUGAGAGGAAGGUCCCCCACAUUGGAACUGAGACACGGUCCAAACUCCUACGGGAGGCAGCAUG